rnacentral:rRNA from 1 species
GACGAACCGUGCGAACGUUGUUCGGAAUCACUGGGCUUAAAGGGCGCGUAGGCGGGCUAGCAAGUCCGGGGUGAAAUCUUUCGGCUCAACCGGAAAAGUGCCUUGGAUACUGCUGGUCUGGAGUGAGGUAGGGGCCGCGGGAACUUCCGGUGGAGCGGUGAAAUGCGUUGAUAUCGGAAGGAACGCCGGUGGCGAAAGCGCGCGGCUGGCCCUCAACUGACGCUGAGGCGCGAAAGCUAGGGGAGCAAACGGG